UGCAGUCGAACGGUACACAGAGAGCUUGCUCUCGGGUGACGAGUGGCGGACGGGUGAGUAAUGUCUGGGAAACUGCCUGAUGGAGGGGGAUAACUACUGGAAACGGUAGCUAAUACCGCAUAACGUCGCAAGACCAAAGAGGGGGACCUUCGGGCCUCUUGCCAUCAGAUGUGCCCAGAUGGGAUUAUCUAUUAGGUGGGGUAACGGCUCACCUAGGCGACGAUCCCUAUCUGGUCUGAGAGGAUGACCAGCCACACUGGAACUGAGACACGGUCCAGACUCCUACGGGAGGCAGCAGUGGGGAAUAUUGCACAAUGGGCGCAAGCCUGAUGCAGCCAUGCCGCGUGUAUGAAAAAGGCCUUCGGGUUGUAAAGUACUUUCAGCGGGGAGGAAGGCGAUAAGGUUAAUAACCUUGUCGAUUGACGUUACCCGCAGAAAAAACACCGGCUAACUCCGUGCCAGCAGCCGCGGUAAUACGGAGGGUGCAAGCGUUAAUCGGAAUUACUGGGCGUAAAGCGCACGCAGGCGGUCUGUCAAGUCGGAUGUGAAAUCCCCGGGCUCAACCUGGGAACUGCAUUCGAAACUGGCAGGCUGGAGUCUUGUAUAGGGGGGUAGAAUUCCAGGUGUAGCGGUGAGAUGCGUAGAGAUCUGGAGGAAUACCGGUGGCGAAGGCGGCCCCCUGGGCAAAGACUGACGACUCUCGUGCGAAAGCGUGGGGAGCAAACAGGAUUAUAUA
rnacentral:rRNA from 1 species